UGGGUGCAUAGUUAUUAUUAUUCAAUAGU
rnacentral:piRNA from 1 species